rnacentral:rRNA from 1 species
UACGGCGAGUGAAGCGGCAAAAGCUCAAAUUUGAAAUCUAGCACCUUCCGGUGUUCGAGUUGUAAUUUGAAGAUGGUAACCUUGGGUUUGGCUCUUGUCUAUGUUCCUUGGAACAGGACGUCAUAGAGGGUGAGAAUCCCGUCUGAUGAGAUGCCCAUUCCUAUGUAAGGUGCUAUCGAAGAGUCGAGUUGUUUGGGAAUGCAGCUCUAAGUGGGUGGUAAAUUCCAUCUAAAGCUAAAUAUUGGCGAGAGACCGAUAGCGAACAAGUACAGUGAUGGAAAGAUGAAAAGAACUUUGAAAAGAGAGUGAAAAAGUACGUGAAAUUGUUGAAAGGGAAGGGCAUUAGAUCAGACUUGGUGUUUUACGAUUAUCUUCUCUUCUUGAGUUGUGCACUCGUAUUUCACUGGGCCAGCAUCGAUUCGGAUGGCAAGAUAAUGGCAGUUGAAUGUGGCUUCACUUCGGUGGAGUGUUAUAGCUUCUGCUGAUAUUGCCUGUCUGGAUCGAGGGCUGCGUCUUUUGACUAGGAUGCUGGCGUAAUGAUCUAAUGCCG